rnacentral:rRNA from 1 species
GCUUAUGGCCAUACCACCCUGAAUGCGCCCGAUCUCGUCUGAUCUAGGAAGCUAAGCAGGGUCAGGCCUGGUUAGUGCUUGGAUGGGUGACCGCCUGGGAAUACCAGGUGCUGUAAGCU